AGGCAGUAACAGUCUUGCAUUCUUAUUUCUUCUACAAAGUUUCAUACAAGUGGGGUUGCUGACAAGAUUAGGGGUCUCAGGUGGUCCGUCUCCUAACCUUGAUGAGUCUCUCUGGUCCCUUUAAGCUGGCCUCGGGUGGUUUCAUGGCUGCUCCUCCCUUGAUUAGCAACUGCUCGAAUUUGCUUUUUGGAACUCAGAACAUGAAGACUUUCUGAGCAGAUUGUCAUCAAAAGAUCAGCAGACUUUUUCAAAAAUGUCAAAUCACAUAUAAGUUUCUCACAAGUGAUGAAAUCACUGAUACCGCAAGUUUCCAAUUAACAGGACUAUACAAGGAAUUACUUCCUUUACACUUUGGACUCCAUAGCUUGUGUUCGGAAUCCCAGUGGUCUCCACUGACAUUGAAGUCAGAGCUCGAAAAUACCACCAGGUGGCGCCAAUACCACUUUAAUAGAUUGAGAAAUGGCCAAGCUUGUUUCUAAUAAACAUAAAUCCUUCCAAUUUUUUUUAAAGAAUUUUUAAAAUUUCUUUCUUUCUUUACUGUUCUGGGUCUUUGUUUCUGCGUGGGCUUUUCUCUAGUUGAGGUGAGCAGGGGCUAUUCUCUAGGUGUGGUGGCUUUGGCUUCUCCUUAGGGUGGUUUCUCUUGUUGCAGAGAGGGGGGCUCAGUAGUUGUGGCUCACGGGCUUAGCUGCAUGUGGGAUAUUCCUGUACCAGGGGUGUAACCUGUGUGCCCUGCAUUGGAAGGCGGAUUCAUAACCACUGGACUACCUGGAAAGUCCUGUCCAAAUUUUAAAGUUCCUAAUAGAUGUAUCUGAAAGUUCUGCAAAGUCUAGCUCUAGUUACAGAGGAGAUCAGGUAUUACUUGAGGAAAAAGUAGGUAGAAUGUUAAAUGCAUCUCCUUGACAUGCAUGCUGACC
ensembl:lncRNA